UACGAAGGGGGGCUAGCGUUGCUCGGAAUUACUGGGCGUAAAGGGCGCGUAGGCGGACAGCUUAGUCAGAGGUGAAAGCCCAGGGCUCAACCUUGGAAUUGCCUUUGAUACUGGCUAUCUUAGUUCGGGAGAGGUGAGUGGAAUGCCGAGUGUAGAGGUGAAAAUUCGUAGAUAUUUCGGGCGGAACACCAGUGGCGAAGGCGACUCACUGGA
rnacentral:rRNA from 1 species